rnacentral:rRNA from 1 species
ACAUACGACCAUAGGGUGUGGAAAACAGGGCUUCCCGUCCGCUCAGCCGUACUUAAACCACACGCCGGCACGUUAGUAGUUGGGUGGGUGACCACCAGCGAAUCCGUGCUGUUGUAUGUU